rnacentral:rRNA from 1 species
AUUGAACGCUGGCGGCAGGCCUAACACAUGCAAGUCGAGCGGAGCGGCGGACGGGUGAGUAAUGCCUAGGAAUCUGCCUGGUAGUGGGGGAUAACGUCCGGAAACGGGCGCUAAUACCGCAUAUUAUCAGUGAAGCCUGGGUGGGAUUAGCAAGUUGGUGGGGUAAAGGCUUACCAAGGCGACGAUCCGUAACUGGUCUGGGAGGAUGAUCAGUCACACUGGAACUAGGACACGGUCCAGACUCCUACGGGAGGCAGCAGUGGGGAAUAUUGGACAAUGGGCGAAAGCCUGAUCCAGCCAUGCCGCGUGUGUGAAGAAGGUCUUCGGAUUGUAAAGCACUUUAAGUUGGGAGGCGUUACCAACAGAAUAAGCACCGGCUAACUUCGUGCCAGCAGCCGCGGUAAUAC